rnacentral:rRNA from 1 species
UGGGGAAUAUUGGACAAUGGGCGAAAGCCUGAUCCAGCCAUGCCGCGUGUGUGAAGAAGGUCUUCGGAUUGUAAAGCACUUUAAGUUGGGAGGAAGGGCAGUUACCUAAUACGUAUCUGUUUUGACGUUACCGACAGAAUAAGCACCGGCUAACUCUGUGCCAGCAGCCGCGGUAAUACAGAGGGUGCAAGCGUUAAUCGGAAUUACUGGGCGUAAAGCGCGCGUAGGUGGUUUGUUAAGUUGGAUGUGAAAUCCCCGGGCUCAACCUGGGAACUGCAUUCAAAACUGACAAGCUAGAGUAUGGUAGAGGGUGGUGGAAUUUCCGGUGUAGCGGUGAAAUGCGUAGAUAUCGGAAAGAACAUCAGUGGCGAAGGCGGCUUCCUGGACUCAUACUGGCGCUGAGGCACGAAAGCAUGGGGAGCAAACAGGAUUAGAUACCCAGGUAGUCCCUGAGCGGGCUGGCAAGGCGCAU